CUCUCUGCCCCUCUUCCCCCACUUGUGCUUUCUCUCUCUCUCUUGCCCUCAAAAUUAAUCUACAUUAAAAAAAGAAAGGAAUGAGGAAAAAGAUAAAACUCCACGUUUCCAGGUUUUAACUUACGUUUACCAGUAACAGAACAGACCAAUAGCAAUGAUCGGUAACCGCUCUCUAGCAGGUGCAGGGCUGCGGGCCGAGGGUCCUGCUGCACAUUCCUCAUGGCCAUCCAGCGAGGUCGGGAGUUAUCGUCCCCGUUUGCGAGCUAGGGAAGCUGAGGCUCACAGAAGCGUUCCCACCUUGUUCCCACCUCGCCCUUCCUCGGUCCCCCUGCACACUCCCCGCCCCAGGCUCCAUCAGCGUCCAGGCCUCGACUCCAGCGCAGCUCGGAGGAGACGCCUCCCUGACCACCCCGUCUAAACUAGCAAAGACGCGCACCUCGUCGUCGUCACUUUGUUUAACAGCACCAUCGUCAUUUUGAUCAUCUGCACCCCUUCACCCCCUGCGGUCGGAGGUCCCCACUGCAAGGACCCCAAGGUCCCUGAGGGCCCCGAGGUCGCAACCCCCGCAUUUCAAACACAGCUUGAAACCAAGCAAGAGCCAACUACGUUAUUUGUUGAAGGAACUAGAGGGGGGUGGAGAGGAGUCAGGAUCUGAACCGCAGUCUGUUUGGGAAUCCAGUGCGCCUAUCCACUCAAGCAUACGGUCUCCUUAAACGGCCAAGGAUGAGCUCUUUAUAGAUUUGGGAGAAUAUACCACAAACUGCCAAAGUGCCUCCCUCUGAGGAGUAUGUGGAAGGAGAUAGGGAGGGAGCUUUUUUUUUUUUUUUUUUUCCGAACCGUAUGUAUUUCUAUAUUUAUUUCAAUUUUUCUAAGGCCCAUGUAUUACUUUCAUAAUCUAGAAAGUGAUGCGUGCAGGAUUAGGUGAUUCUCCCCCCUUCUCGGUGAACUCUCCUUAACCCCUUAGACCCAGACGCAUCACCUGCACACACGUUCCUCAGCUCACAGAUUCCUCCCCUUGGCCAAUGGUAGAGAACAUCAGCACAGCUUCAAACCAUCUGCUCCUACGCAGAACCAAGCUAAAAGAAGGAUUAUUUGAAAAACGUCCUUGGAAGCUGCGAGGCUCCACCCGGUGAGGUGGGAGGCGGGAGGCGUCAGAGUCACCUGGGAGGUUUUCCUGAAACGCACAGCCCUGGGGCCCCACCCCCGGGAUCGGUGGGUUGGGUUUUAAGUCUUGUGCAGGGCAAGCCACAGAGAGGACCACUGGUUUCAGGGACACACUACUAGAGAUCUCUACCUUGCUCCUUGGAUCAGCUCGGGGGGGGGGGGGGGGGCAAUCCCAUCCUCCCCAGAGCUGCUGAGCCUCGGGGGAUCUUUUGCAUCCAACGCUUAACUUCGGUCAGCAGGGGCGACCAGAACUGCCCUCUGCACCGUUUAGGGCUUAACCAUCUCAACUCUUAGCACCCUCCACCUCAGCCUUCCCCCGUGGGGCCCCUGAAUCAGAGGGGGAAAGGGGCAGGAUCACAGCUGGUGCCAGCGACGGCUCAUCUAUGCUGCAGCCGAGGCCCUCGUGGUGGGAACCUGUCAGGCCCAUGAACGGUGGGCAGAAGAAAAGCUGAGAUGUGACACUGUGCACAGCAGCAUCUGAGAAGCUGCAGCAAGACAGGGUCGGGAAAAUCUGACUCCCUAAAAGAACCACAAUUUUUUUCUCCUUUAGAAUAAAGAACUCGGUAAUGGACCAUUUCCCUUUUUGCCCUGGCUACCAGGAAGCUCAGAGGUCAUAUUUACUCUCAUAGCUACAUAGCUACUGCAUCUGUUUUUCAUUUUUUUUUUUUUAAUUAAAUCUUUGGUAUCAAGGUCCCAUUUUCCUAGAGGUGGGGCAUAAAGAAAUCCAAUAAAUGAAUAUUUACACAGUA